CCUUUGAUUUAUUUUCUUCUGGGUGGCCGCGGCGACCCGCGACUGGCUCCGGGAUGGGACGUGGAGCCCCCGGAGCUGCGGCGGUGGCGGCGGCGGCGCUGUGAGGAGCAGCCAGGGGGAGGCAGCUGCGGCUCGUCGAAGCCAGUAGAAACAAUGGGCUGUAGUUGGAUGCUGUCUUCUAUGAUCAUUUCCCUGAACUUCCAGUGACAACCAUCAUGAUCUACACAGCCUCUGCUCAUUCCACAUGUCUGUAAGCCCUAACUCCCUUGUUAAACUCUUUUGUCUCAUAGUACUUAGUGUGGUUCUGUUAACUUGACAAUAUCCAGAAAGAUAAACUCACUAAAAGAUGUAAUAUGUAGACCUUAAUGACAACCAUUGAAGAUCUCUCUUAUGGAAAUAAAGUAUCUGUAUAGCAUCUA